GAAAAAGUAUGCAAGAACUGCUAAUUCAUGCCACCGCACCUAAAACUGCGGCUUUUUUA
rnacentral:tRNA from 1 species